UCGGUAUCUCCAACCCACAGAUCAGAAGAUAGUUCGAGGCUCUGUGACGGCGGCUGGCUUCCAAUCUGAAAAAGCAAAAUUCGGUUUCCUCUUAAAUCUGGUCUGAACGGAGAAACAUGUGUGUUUGUCAGCAUAAUAAGAACACAACACUAAGGGACGUGAAUAUUCGCAGCUCUUGAUCACGCAACCACUAGUACCAAGCAGCAGAGGCAGAUUACUUUUGAAGGCUAGUAUAUAGAGAAAGAGGCUCUUACACUGUCUGCAUUUUAGAGGCUUUAACCUCUCUCUCUCUAUAUAUAUAUAUACGGAGAAGGUUGCAGAGCAACUCAAGAUUAGAUUCAUGGCCACUUCAAGACCUACCAGCUUAAGUAAAAUAUGUCAAAGAACUGUUGUGGAAUUUCUGGAUUCCGAAAGCAUUAAUCAUCUUGAUGAUGAUUUAACCGGCAAAAGAGAAGUUUCAAUUAAUACCCGUCUGUCGGUACCAAACGUCUGUGGCUCCCAAGCAGUAACAUCAGAUGCUGACAAAGGUACCAUCGGUCGUUUUAUCUUUGUCGAUCAGAAAUAACAUUGUUUGGAUAGGUCAAUAUGGGCAGUCAGCCGAGAGACUUAGGUGAAUGCAUGAGCAUCCCAUUCUUUUAGUUCUGACAUUUUGUCCCAAGGUUUAUCCUGAUAUGAGAUCUGAUGGGCCAAAAGAAAGGGAUCUGAUGGACAAAAAGAAAGCUUCAGCACUUGGAUUUUUUAAGGCAAAAGUGGAUCCCACUGUUCGUGUGUUGCGGGAUUAAGCUCCGGAUUUGUUUUUGGUUCACAUAGCAUUUUCGUUUAGUUCUUCACAACUUCUUAUGGUCAAUGGCAUCUGGUUGAGAUUAGCUUUCUGCGCUGCAUCCAGAAUAAUAAAAUCUCAGCUGCAUAUUAUAAAGAACGGACCCUCUCCCACGGAUUGAUCAUUGCCAGCCGUGUAAAUGUCUAUGAAUAUCCAGAUCUGUCCAAGCCCAACAGAAUAAGUAGAAAGAGAUUGCAAGUACAAUUAAAAUACGUAUAAAUGAUGAUUAUUUAAAAUAUUGAAAAAGAAAAGAUAAAAAUAAAUCAAUCAAUUGAAUUUUGUUUCAGUAAUUAAUAAUCUUGUUGUAUUAA